rnacentral:rRNA from 1 species
GACGAACGCUGGCGGCGUGCUUAACACAUGCAAGUCGAGCGGAAAGGCCCUGCUUUUGUGGGGUGCUCGAGUGGCGAACGGGUGAGUAACACGUGAGUAACCUGCCCUUGACUUUGGGAUAACUUCAGGAAACUGGGGCUAAUACCGGAUAGGAGCUCCUGCUGCAUGGUGGGGGUUGGAAAGUUUCGGCGGUUGGGGAUGGACUCGCGGCUUAUCAGCUUGUUGGUAGGGUAGUGGCUUACCAAGGCUUUGACGGGUAGCCGGCCUGAGAGGGUGACCGGCCACAUUGGGACUGAGAUACGGCCCAGACUCCUACGGGAGGCAGCAGUGGGGAAUAUUGCACAAUGGGCGGAAGCCUGAUGCAGCAACGCCGCGUGCGGGAUGACGGCCUUCGGGUUGUAAACCGCUUUCGCCUGUGACGAAGCGUGAGUGACGGUAAUGGGUAAAGAAGCACCGGCUAACUACGUG